AGAAAGAGCGGCCACACGAGGGGCUUCGCUGUCGAAAUUGCUAAGGCUUCCCAGGAGGGAGUAGCCUUUAACUGUGGGAAGGACUCUGAGGAGGACGGGAAGUGGAGGAGCGAUAAGAGCCGGAGGAAAGAACUCCAGGCAGAACAACGCCGGGCCACGAACCCUCAAAGGCAGAGGAAGCGCCAGGUGGAGGGCGAGUGCGGCGCCUGGUCACUGUCGGACCCCGCCACCCGGCAGUGAUGUGCGGAGUGGGCAUGAAAGAGGGAGGAUGGGGACCGCAGGAGAGGGGAGAGCGCCCGGGCUGGGCCGGAAAGAAGGUGAAAAGGGAAAGGCCUCAGUGAGGAAGAGAGUUACCACAGCAGGCGGUACCUAGUUCCAGUUCUCGGUCCCUGGGGUCUGUGGUUGCUGCUUUCAUCCUGCUCGGCCAAAACAAAAGUAUCAGAGGGCGAUUCCUGAGGACCUUCCGUGCAUCGCCACCUCGCAGACGCGGCUCGUUGGUGUCCACUCCCCUCUCCAACUCUUUACACUCAGAUGGUAGAAUGGAGCACAAUCAGUGGAAAACACAAGCUUGGGAGUCAAGGGAUUUGGGCUCUAUGGUCGUCCCUUGGUGACGACAUCGUUACCUUGGGUUGUUCACGCUUUCAGUGCCAGAGUUCCUAGAUCAAUAAGACAUAAUUGUGGCCUCUUACAGAAAUGUUUGUGCGGUACUGGAUUCCAAAUAAAAUGCAGCAGUAUGUUGCGUUUGCAGUAACAGCUGUGACUAACACUGAUGAUCAUAUAAGUGUACCACGUUAUUUGGUGAUUAUCUUAACUGAUCUUUUCAAAGACUCCCACAUACUCUGCAGGUUUACAAACAAACUUGCAGGUAUAUUCCCAACUAAGGACAUUUCUGGAUCUAUGUUGGUCUUUGCUUUUGUUAAAGUGUACGGUUCUGCACUAACGAGUGGUUUUCAGAAUACUUUCAGUUGCUGGGAUUUUUCUUUGGGGAGUUAAAAGCAGCUUAAUCCUUCUCCCAGACCUUCCUCAUUUAUCUAAAUAUAGUGCUGAUGUGGUAGAGUAUUUAACAACUUAGGGUUGUCCAAGAGGUAGUUUCUACCCAGGAAGUUCUUUUUUCCCCACAUCAUACUUCAGUUUGAUGCAAAUAUAGGUUAAUAAUGUCUACAGAUGCUAGAGAAUUAGAAUUUUAAAGAAAAUUUAAAUUGUAUUAUGUAAUUUGUUAGAUGUUUUGUCAGCUUUUUAUGGUGUAUCAAGUUAGGAAAAUUUACCGGGGAUGCCUGGCAUUGUGGAACAUGCUGCUAAUCCCAGCACUUUCGAGGCUGAGGUAGGAGGAUGGCAAGUUCAUGGGCUGCCUGAAACCUCCCCUGCAAGUAAAACCUUGUCUCAGAAAAUAAAAAUUU